rnacentral:misc_RNA from 1 species
GGAAGGAUCAUUAACACUGUUCGGUUUUCGAACCGAUUUCUUCCAACCAAAUGUGAAUCUUUGACGUACGGCGUCGAGCCGAAUUCUUUGAACGAAACUAUGAAAUGUACUGAAGUCGAUAUUUUAAAACAGAAUACAACUCUUAGCAAUGGAUGUCUUGGUUCCCACAACGAUGAAGAACGCAGCGAAAUGCGAUACGUAAUGCGAAUUGCAGAAUUCAGUGAAUCAUCAAAUCUUUGAACGCAAGUUGCGCCCUUGGGAUAUCCCUGUGGGCAUGCCUCCUUGAGUAUCGUUUUAUUCCCUUUUCGCUCUGCGAAAGAAGGUGAGCUUUGGUCGGUCCAUGGCUCGAAGGAAUAGAAUGGCGACACUGGUCUCUUGAAUUGAUUUUCAGAUCCACGGCGCCCGAUACACGUCGCGAUCGCCCUCGGGCGAGUUGCGCAUCGUUAACACUUUCGAUCUCAAGUGAGGUAAGACUACCCGCCGAAUUUAAGCAUAUAAUUAAGCGGAGGAAAAGAAAAUAACAAUGAUUCCCCUAGUAACGGCGAGUGAAGCGGGAAGAGCUCAAACCGAUAAUCUCUGCCUCGGCAGCGAAUUGUGGUCUAUGGAGGCGUGUCUCAGUGUGCGGUCCCGGCCUAAGGCAAUUGGAACAUUGCAUCGGAGAGGGUGAGAAUCCCGUAUUCGGCUGGGUGUCCGCCACGUACGAGCCGUUCUCUAAGAGUCGGAUUGCUUGGGAGUGCAGUCCUAAGUGGGAGGUAAAUUUCUCCUAAAGCUAAAUACAUGUGGGAGACCGAUAGCGAACAAGUACCGUGAGGGAAAGAUGAAAAGGACUUUGAAAAGAGAGUUAAAAGUACCUGAAAUUGCUAAGAAUGAAGGGAUGGCAACUAGUAGUGGUCUGGGGGAUCUUACUCGGUGGUCGUCGUAGUCGCGCGUCCCGAAUUGUUUCGGCUUUCGGUCGCGUGGCGAAAGCGACGCCGGGGUCCUGUCCUCCGGACCAAGGUCAGAAUGGGAUCGCUUCGGUUGAGAAUGGCGCCGGGAAGGUAGCCAGGUUCGCGCCUGGAACUUAUAGACCGGUGUCACGAGAUCGUCGCGGUCCGAGGUGUGUAAACGCGCGCUCUCACAGCUUUGGUAACGUUGCGGCUGUGUCGUCGGCAUUCGUGGGAAACAACGUUUCGUUCGGGUGUUCGGCGCGCACCCGCAGCGGUCGCAUACGUCGCGUUCAUGAUUCUGACGAAAUGGUUGCUAUUCACCCGUCUUGAAACACGGACCAAGGAGUCUUACAUAUAUGCGAGUAAUAAAGUGGAAAACUUUGUUGCGGAAUGAAGGUGAAUUGGUGUGAUCCCUGCUCUCGGGCAGGGAGCAACACCGGGCGGCUAAAAUACUUGUACGACCAUGAGCAUAUCUGUAGGGACCCGAAAGAUGGUGAACUAUGCCUGAGCAGGAUGAAGCCAGGGGAAACUCUGGUGGAGGUCCGAAGCGAUACUGACGUGCAAAUCGUUCGUCUGACUUGGGUAUAGGGGCGAAAGACUAAUCGAACUAUCUAGUAGCUGGUUCCCUC